rnacentral:rRNA from 1 species
AUGGGGUUGACAUUUGAUUCGCUAGGAGAGGCCUACGACUACUACAAUCUGUAUUCAUGGGAAUGCGGUUUCGGAAUCAGGUACGGGAAGAGUCGUACAAAUGUCAAAGGUGCUAAAAGCAUGCAAGAGCUGCUGUGCAACUGCGGGGGGAAACCAAAGAAGGUGAACUCUACCUCUUCCAGAACAGAGUGUCCAACGAUGAUUAGAUUGCUGAGAACUGAAGAUGAUGGCUGGUACAUAUGUGAGUACAGAGUCUCUCACAACCAUGAGAUGUUACACACAUGCGCCAAGAAACUCCACUUCCCUUCCCACCGACACAUAGACAAAUACACAAGAGAGCUGGUAUCUCAACUGCGUCAGAAUAAUGUCAACCUCAGCAAUGUUUACAGCAUAAUAGGGACAUUUUUUGGUCGCAUAGAGAAUGUUCCUUUCACCAAAAGAUGCAUGAGGACCUUGUGCGCGAAACUAAGCAGAGACCAAGCAGAUGGAGAUGUUAAGAAGACAAUGGAUUAUUUUGCUGAGUUGAAGCAGAGUGACCCUGAGUUCACUUAUACAGUUCGUGUAGACAAUGAGAGUAGAGUUAGAACAUUGAUAUGGACAACUGGGAAGAGCAAAUUACAGUACCACUACUUUGGUGAUGUUGUUACAUUUGAUACUACCUACAGGACAAAUCUAUACAACAUGUCAUUCGGACUAUUUGUUGGGGUUAACAACCAUUUCCAGAGUGUUAUAUACGCUGGUGUACUUAUGCGUGAUGAGAAAGUAGAGAGCUUUAACUGGGUUUUUCAGAGUUUGUCAAGUUGA